rnacentral:rRNA from 1 species
UUACGCUGUUAUCCCUAAGGUAAUUUAGUCUUAUAAUCACUAAAAAUGGAUCAAAAAUCUAUAAAUAAAUAUAAGAAAAUAAAAAGAGUUAUAUUAAUCUUCCCAUCACCCCAACAAAAUUCAAAUAAUACUAAAAAUUUUAUCCCACAAAAAAUAAAAAUUAAAUUAAACUCUAUAGGGUCUUCUCGUCCUAAAAAAAUAUUUAGGCAUUUUAACCUAAAAUUUAAAUUCAACAUAUUAAAAUGUAAGAAAGUUAAUACCUCGUCAAAUCUUUCAUACCAGCUUCCAAUUAAGAAACAACUGAUUAUGCUACCUUUGCACAGUCAAAAUACUGCGGCCAUUUAAUAGCUACCAGUGGGCAGACCCGACCUGUUAAACAAAAUCAAGAGGAGAUGUUUUUGUUAAACAGGAG